UUACGGCCAUAUCAAUUUAGGACACCGGUUUCCGUAUGAUCACUGAAGUUAAGCAACCUCGAACCUGGUUAGUACGUAAAUGGUUGAACUCUUGGGAAUACCAGGUGCUGUAA